rnacentral:snRNA from 1 species
UGAUGUGAGGGCAAUCUGGCUGUGACAUCUUUCACCCCAUUGAUCGCCAGGGUUGAUUAGGCUGAUCUGGCUGGCUAGGGGGUUGUAUCCUUCCUCUCUCAUUGCUCCAUGUGCAUCCCUCUCGAAGCUCUGAGAUCAGUUGAAGAGAACAAUGAGCCCCCACAGAGGAGAACCAUUUCCUAGGUCAAGGGUAUAUGAGUAGCUGCACUCAUCUGCUAGAAUCUCCAAACAAGCUCUCAAAAAGUCAGUGUUUUAAAUUUAAGAAACUACAAUUCAAUCAAAAUGUUAGCUUAAUUAAGUCUCAAAGGUAAUUU